rnacentral:rRNA from 1 species
AGAGUUUGAUCCUGGCUCAGAUUGAACGCUGGCGGCAUGCUUUACACAUGCAAGUCGAACGGCAGCGGGGGCUUCGGCCUGCCGGCGAGUGGCGAACGGGUGAGUAAUGCAUCGGAACGUGCCCAGUCAUGGGGGAUAACUACGCGAAAGCGUAGCUAAUACCGCAUACGCCCUGAGGGGGAAAGCGGGGGAUCGCAAGACCUCGCGUGAUUGGAGCGGCCGAUGUCGGAUUAGCUAGUUGGUGGGGUAAAGGCCUACCAAGGCGACGAUCCGUAGCGGGUCUGAGAGGAUGAUCCGCCACACUGGGACUGAGACACGGCCCAGACUCCUACGGGAGGCAGCAGUGGGGAAUUUUGGACAAUGGGGGCAACCCUGAUCCAGCCAUGCCGCGUGAGUGAAGAAGGCCUUCGGGUUGUAAAGCUCUUUCGGCCGGGAAGAAAUCGGACAGGCU